ensembl:lncRNA
CGUGAUUCACACACCCUGACUCCUCCUCUCCGUCCCUGAGGCUUUCUCGAGGCAAGAGGGUGUGGAUGCAGAGCCGUUGCCCUGGCAACGCCCACGCCACAUCAUCCGCUCUUUCGAGAGCUUGCCGGGCUGCUCUGUUACCUCGGGGUUCCUUGAAUGAAGGAACCGACCGAACCCCUCCCUGUACCUCGCGAUCAGUCGCUGUGGUUCUGGCCGGGACAGCUCCGAAGCAACUAACCUCGGCGAUCAAGGGAUCAUUAUCAAAGAGGAAUUCACUCACCCCUCCCAGCAAUAGUUUGGAGAAAGGGACGAGCUGAGGAAUGCAACCUUCUCCUGUUCGUACUGUCCCGCCGCAGGAGAAGGGCGGGGGGAAGGGGAACCCGCUCAGACUCAGACUGCACACGCUCUCCGGGAAGCAUUGCUGGGACAGAAAGGGGUGAGUGAGAACUGCAGAAGAGUUUCUUGCCAGCUCAAACUAGUGAGCAGCUGUCGUGGUCAUGGGCCCCAAGGAGGUGAAUGUCAGGGACUGGAAGGGACCUUGAAAGAUCAUCUUGUCCAAUCCCCAUGCUGGAGCAAGAACAUCUAGAAAUGUACCCAGAUACUGAAAGGUCACUAUCAGGCCACCUCUGAGCCUUCUCUUCUCCAGCCUCAACAGCCCCAGCUCCUUCAGCCUAUCCUCAUAGGAGAGGUGCUCCAUCCCUUGGAUUGUUCCUGGGCCCCCCCCUCUGGAUGAACUUCAACAGGUGCAUGUCUCUCCCCUACUCUGGACUCUGCAUUUGGACACAGAACUCCAAGUGAGGUCUCACUGGCACAAAGCAGAGGGUCAGGAUCACCUUCCUUGACCUGCUGGUCCUACUUGUUUGGAUGCAGCCCAGGAUGUGGUUGCCUUUCUGGGCUGUGAAGGCA